rnacentral:lncRNA from 1 species
CGCUGCUUCACGCCCAGCCGCCCUCUGCCAUCGCUUUGCUCCGCCGCUGCCUCCAGCCGGAGAUCGAAGGAGCCACAGCUCCGAUCGGUGACCCGGCCGGAUUUCCAGUUUUCCGGCGUCCCCUCGGCCGAUCCUUCCCAUUUUCGUGAUCUCCUCCUCCCCCUGAUCAUCCCCAUGUAAGUCUUUCAUCACGAUUUUGUGUGUAGAACGCUAGAUCAAGGUUUGACUUUUUCGACGUCCCUGAUUUGAUCUAGGAUCUGAUCGUGCGUCCGAGAUUUAAUCCAACUUCAAAGCUUGAUCUAGGAAGAUCUAGGCCG